rnacentral:rRNA from 1 species
UACGUAGGGUGCGAGCGUUAAUCGGAAUUACUGGGCGUAAAGGGUGCGCAGGCGGUUUUGUAAGUCAGAUGUGAAAUCCCCGGGCUUAACCUGGGAAUUGCGUUUGAAACUACAAAACUAGAGUGUGGCAGAGGGAGGUGGAAUUCCAUGUGUAGCAGUGAAAUGCGUAGAGAUAUGGAAGAACAUCGAUGGCGAAGGCAGCCUCCUGGGUUAACACUGACGCUCAUGCACGAAAGCGUGGGGAGCAAACAGGAUUAGAAACCCUAGUAGUCC